rnacentral:rRNA from 1 species
GCUAACUCUGUGCCAGCAGCCGCGGUAAUACAGAGGGUGCAAGCGUUAAUCGGAAUUACUGGGCGUAAAGGGAGCGUAGGUGGCUCGAUAAGUCAGAUGUGAAAUCCCCGGGCUCAACCUGGGAACUGCAUCUGAUACUGUUGAGCUAGAGUAUGUGAGAGGAAGGUAGAAUUCCAGGUGUAGCGGUGAAAUGCGUAGAGAUCUGGAGGAAUACCGAUGGCGAAGGCAGCCUUCUGGCAUAAUACUGACACUGAGGCUCGAAAGCGUGGGUAGCAAACAGGAUUAGAUACCCUGGUAGUCCACGCCGUAAACGAUGUCUACUAGUCGUUGGGUCCCUUGAGGACUUAGUGACGCAGCUAACGCAAUAAGUAGACCGCCUGGGGAGUACGGCCGCAAGGUUAAAACUCAAAUGAAUUGACGGGGGCCCGCACAAGCGGUGGAGCAUGUGGUUUAAUUCGAUGCAACGCGAAGAACCUUACCUGGUCUUGACAU